GGUUAAGCGACUAAGCGUACACGGUGGAUGCCCUGGCAGUCAGAGGCGAUGAAGGACGUGCUAAUCUGCGAAAAGCGUCGGUAAGGUGAUAUGAACCGUUAUAACCGGCGAUGUCCGAAUGGGGAAACCCAGUGCAAUUCGUUGCACUAUCGUUAACUGAAUACAUAGGUUAACGAGGCGAACCGGGGGAACUGAAACAUCUAAGUACCCCGAGGAAAAAAAAUCAACCGAGAUUCCCCCAGUAGCGGCGAGCGAACGGGGAGCAGCCCAGAGUCUGAAUCAGCUUGUGUGUUAGUGGAACGGUCUGGAAAGUCCGACGGUACAGGGUGAUAGUCCCGUACACCAAAAUGCACAGGCUGUGAACUCGAAGAGUAGGGCGGGACACGUGGUAUCCUGUCUGAAUAUGGGGGGACCAUCCUCCAAGGCUAAAUACUCCUGACUGACCGAUAGUGAACCAGUACCGUGAGGGAAAGGCGAAAAGAACCCCGGCGAGGGGAGUGAAAAAGAACCUGAAACCGUGUACGUACAAGCAGUGGGAGCACCUUCGGGUGUGACUGCGUACCUUUUGUAUAAUGGGUCAGCGACUUAUAUUCUGUAGCAAGGUUAACCGUAUAGGGGAGCCGCAGGGAAACCGAGUCUUAACUGGGCGUUAAGUUGCAGGGUAUAGACCCGAAACCCGGUGAUCUAGCCAUGGGCAGGUUGAAGGUUGGGUAACACUAACUGGAGGACCGAACCGACUAAUGUUGAAAAAUUAGCGGAUGACUUGUGGCUGGGGGUGAAAGGCCAAUCAAACCGGGAGAUAGCUGGUUCUCCCCGAAAGCUAUUUAGGUAGCGCCUCGUGAACUCAUCUUCGGGGGUAGAGCACUGUUUCGGCUAGGGGGUCAUCCCGACUUACCAACCCGAUGCAAACUACGAAUACCGAAGAAUGUUAUCACGGGAGACACACGGCGGGUGCUAACGUCCGUCGUGAAGAGGGAAACAACCCAGACCGCCAGCUAAGGUCCCAAAGUCAUGGUUAAGUGGGAAACGAUGUGGGAAGGCACAGACAGCCAGGAUGUUGGCUUAGAAGCAGCCAUCAUUUAAAGAAAGCGUAAUAGCUCACUGGUCGAGUCGGCCUGCGCGGAAGAUGUAACGGGGCUAAACCAUGCACCGAAGCUGCGGCAGCGACACUAUGUGUUGUUGGGUAGGGGAGCGUUCUGUAAGCCUGCGAAGGUGUGCUGUGAGGCAUGCUGGAGGUAUCAGAAGUGCGAAUGCUGACAUAAGUAACGAUAAAGCGGGUGAAAAGCCCGCUCGCCGGAAGACCAAGGGUUCCUGUCCAACGUUAAUCGGGGCAGGGUGAGUCGACCCCUAAGGCGAGGCCGAAAGGCGUAGUCGAUGGGAAACAGGUUAAUAUUCCUGUACUUGGUGUUACUGCGAAGGGGGGACGGAGAAGGCUAUGUUAGCCGGGCGACGGUUGUCCCGGUUUAAGCAUGUAGGCUGGUUAUCCAGGCAAAUCCGGAUAAUCAAGGCUGAGGUGUGAUGACGAGGCACUACGGUGCUGAAGUAACAAAUGCCCUGCUUCCAGGAAAAGCCUCUAAGCAUCAGGUAACAUCAAAUCGUACCCCAAACCGACACAGGUGGUCAGGUAGAGAAUACCAAGGCGCUUGAGAGAACUCGGGUGAAGGAACUAGGCAAAAUGGUGCCGUAACUUCGGGAGAAGGCACGCUGGUGUGUAGGUGAAGUCCCUGCGGAUGGAGCUGAGACCAGUCGAAGAUACCAGCUGGCUGCAACUGUUUAUUAAAAACACAGCACUGUGCAAACACGAAAGUGGACGUAUACGGUGUGACGCCUGCCCGGUGCCGGAAGGUUAAUUGAUGGGGUUAUCCGUAAGGAGAAGCUCUUGAUCGAAGCCCCGGUAAACGGCGGCCGUAACUAUAACGGUCCUAAGGUAGCGAAAUUCCUUGUCGGGUAAGUUCCGACCUGCACGAAUGGCGUAAUGAUGGCCAGGCUGUCUCCACCCGAGACUCAGUGAAAUUGAACUCGCUGUGAAGAUGCAGUGUACCCGCGGCAAGACGGAAAGACCCCGUGAACCUUUACUAUAGCUUGACACUGAACAUUGAGCCUUGAUGUGUAGGAUAGGUGGGAGGCUUUGAAGCGUGGACGCCAGUCUGCGUGGAGCCAACCUUGAAAUACCACCCUUUAAUGUUUGAUGUUCUAACGUUGGCCCCUUACCGGGGUUGCGGACAGUGUCUGGUGGGUAGUUUGACUGGGGCGGUCUCCUCCCAAAGCGUAACGGAGGAGCACGAAGGUUAGCUAAUCCUGGUCGGACAUCAGGAGGUUAGUGCAAUGGCAUAAGCUAGCUUGACUGCGAGCGUGACGGCGCGAGCAGGUGCGAAAGCAGGUCAUAGUGAUCCGGUGGUUCUGAAUGGAAGGGCCAUCGCUCAACGGAUAAAAGGUACUCCGGGGAUAACAGGCUGAUACCGCCCAAGAGUUCAUAUCGACGGCGGUGUUUGGCACCUCGAUGUCGGCUCAUCACAUCCUGGGGCUGAAGUAGGUCCCAAGGGUAUGGCUGUUCGCCAUUUAAAGUGGUACGCGAGCUGGGUUUAGAACGUCGUGAGACAGUUCGGUCCCUAUCUGCCGUGGGCGCUGGAGAAUUGAGGGGGGCUGCUCCUAGUACGAGAGGACCGGAGUGGACGCAUCACUGGUGUUCGGGUUGUCAUGCCAAUGGCACUGCCCGGUAGCUAAAUGCGGAAGAGAUAAGUGCUGAAAGCAUCUAAGCACGAAACUUGCCCCGAGAUGAGUUCUCCCUGAGACUUUAAGUCUCCUGAAGGAACGUUAAAGACGAUGACGUUGAUAGGCCGGGUGUGUAAGCGCAGCGAUGCGUUGAGCUAACCGGUACUAAUGAACCGUGAGGCUUAACCUU
rnacentral:rRNA from 1 species